rnacentral:rRNA from 1 species
UACGAAGGGGGCUAGCGUUGCUCGGAAUCACUGGGCGUAAAGCGCACGUAGGCGGAUCUUUAAGUCAGGGGUGAAAUCCUGGAGCUCAACUCCAGAACUGCCUUUGAUACUGGGGAUCUUGAGUCCGGGAGAGGUGAGUGGAACUGCGAGUGUAGAGGUGAAAUUCGUAGAUAUUCGCAAGAACACCAGUGGCGAAGGCGGCUCACUGGCCCGGUACUGACGCUGAGGUGCGAAAGCGUGGGGAGCAAACAGG